rnacentral:rRNA from 1 species
AACGAACGCUGGCGGCAUGCCUAACACAUGCAAGUCGAACGAGACCUUCGGGUCUAGUGGCGCACGGGUGCGUAACGCGUGGGAACCUGCCCUUAGGUUCGGAAUAACUCCCCGAAAGGGGUGCUAAUACCGGAUAAUGUCUUCGGACCAAAGAUUUAUCGCCUUUGGAUGGGCCCGCGUUGGAUUAGCUAGUUGGUAGGGUAAAAGCCUACCAAGGCGACGAUCCAUAGCUGGUCUGAGAGGAUGAUCAGCCACACUGGAACUGAGACACGGCCCAGACUCCUACGGGAGGCAGCAGGGGGGAAUAUUGGACAAUGGGCGAAAGCCUGAUCCAGCAAGGCCGCGGGAGUGAUGAAGGCCUUAGGGUUGUAAAGCUCUUUUACCCGGGAUGAUAAUGACAGUACCGGGAGAAUAAGCUCCGGCUAACUCCGUG